rnacentral:tRNA from 1 species
CAUUAAGAAGCUAUGAACAGCGAUAGCCUUUUAAGCUAUAGAUGGUGAUUUAAACCGCCCUUAGUGA